UACGGGGGGGGCAAGCGUUGUUCGGAAUUACUGGGCGUAAAGGGCUCGUAGGUGGCCAACUAAGUCAGACGUGAAAUCCCUCAGCUUAACUGGGGAACUGCGUCUGAUACUGGAUGGCUUGAGGUUGGGAGAGGGAUGCGGAAUUCCAGGUGUAGCGGUGAAAUGCGUAGAUAUCUGGAGGAACACCGGUGGCGAAGGCGGCAUCCUGGACCAAUUCUGACGCUGAGGAGCGAAAGCCAGGGGAGCAAACGGG
rnacentral:rRNA from 1 species